rnacentral:rRNA from 1 species
GACGAACGCUGGCGGCGUGCUUAACACAUGCAAGUCGAACGGAAAGGCCCUGCUUUUGUGGGGUGCUCGAGUGGCGAACGGGUGAGUAACACGUGAGUAACCUGCCCUUGACUUUGGGAUAACUUCAGGAAACUGGGGCUAAUACCGGAUAGGAGCUCCUGCUGCAUGGUGGGGGUUGGAAAGUUUCGGCGGUUGGGAAUGGACUCGCGGCUUAUCAGCUUGUUGGUGGGGUAGUGGCUUACCAAGGCUUUGACGGGUAGCCGGCCUGAGAGGGUAACCGGCCACAUUGGGACUGAGAUACGGCCCAGACUCCUACGGGAGGCAGCAGUGGGGAAUAUUGCACAAUGGGCGGAAGCCUGAUGCAGCAACGCCGCGUGCGGGAUGACGGCCUUCGGGUUGUAAACCGCUUUCGCCUGUGACGAAGCGUGAGUGACGGUAAUGGGUAAAGAAGCACCGGCUAACUACGUG